rnacentral:rRNA from 1 species
CCUACGGGAGGCAGCAGUGGGGAAUAUUGGGCAAUGGGCGCAAGCCUGACCCAGCAACGCCGCGUGAAGGAAGAAGGCCCUCGGGUUGUAAACUUCUUUUGUCAGGGACGAAACAAAUGACGGUACCUGACGAAUAAGCCACGGCUAACUACGUGCCCGCAGCCGUGGUAAUACGUAGGUGGCAAGCGUUAUCCGGAUUUACUGGGUGUAAAGGGCGUGUAGGCGGGAGGGCAAGUCCGAUUUGAAAUUCCAGGGCUCAACCCUGGAACUGCAUUUGAAACUGUUGUUCUUGAGUGAUGGGGAGGAAGGCGGAAUUCCGUGGGUAGCGGGGAAAUGCGUAGAUAUACGGAGGAACACCAGUGGCGAAGGCGGCCUGCUGGACAGUAACUGACGCUGAGGCGCGAAAGCGUGGGAAGCAAACAGGAUUAGAUACCCUGGUAGUC